rnacentral:rRNA from 1 species
GAUGAACGCUGACAGAAUGCUUAACACAUGCAAGUCGACUUGAACUUCGGUUUGGGUGGCGGUCGGGUGAGUACCGCGUACAGAACUUUCCUCCCAGCUAGGGAUAACUUUUGGACACGAAUGAUAAUACCUGAUAUUAUGAUUAUCUGGCAUCGUAUAUUUAUGACAGCUAUAUGCGCUGUGAGAGGGCUUUGCGUUCCAUUAUCUAGUUGGAGAGGCAGCAGUUCACAAAGGCGAUGAUGGGUAGCCGGCCUGAGAGGGUGAUCGGCCACAAGCGGACUGGGAAACGACCCUUAGGCCUUCUGCAGGCAGCAGUGGAGGACAGAGGACGAAGGACCGAGUGUCUGAUCCAGCAAUUCUGUGUGCACGAUGAAGUUUUUCGGAAUGAAAAGUGCUUUCAGUUGGGAAGAAAAAAAUGACGGUACCAACAAAGAAAGUGACGGCUAAAUACGUG